rnacentral:rRNA from 1 species
GGGCACGGGGGGCCUACGGGAGGCAGCAGUGGGGAAUAUUGCACAAUGGGCGAAAGCCUGAUGCAGCAACGCCGCGUGCGGGAUGACGGCCUUCGGGUUGUAAACCGCUUUCGCCUGUGACGAAGCGUGAGUGACGGUAAUGGGUAAAGAAGCACCGGCUAACUACGUGCCAGCAGCCGCGGUAAUAAU